GAAAUGCGAAAAUUAAUGUGAAUUGCAGAAUUCCGUGAAUCAUCGAGUCUUUGAACGCACAUUGCGCCCUUCGGUAUUCCGAAGGGCAUGCCUGUUCGAGCGUCAUUGCACCCCUCAAGCACUGCUUGGUAUUGGGCUUCGCCCCCGUGGCGGGCCUGGAAUUCAGUGGCGGUCCAGCGAGACUUCAAGCGUAGCAAGAUUUCACGAUCCCGCUUUGGAAGGUUCGUGCUGUGUGCCGGCCAGACAACCCCAUUAUUUAUCAAUGGUUGACCUCGGAUCAGGUAGGGAUACCCGCUGAACUUAA
rnacentral:misc_RNA from 1 species